GACGAACGCUGGCGGCGUGCUUAACACAUGCAAGUCGAACGGAAAGGCCCUGCUUUUGUGGGGUGCUCGAGUGGCGAACGGGUGAGUAACACGUGAGUAACCUGCCCUUGACUUUGGGAUAACUUCAGGAAACUGGGGCUAAUACCGGAUAGGAGCUCCUGCUGCAUGGUGGGGGUUGGAAAGUUUCGGCGGUUGGGGAUGGACUCGCGGCUUAUCAGCUUGUUGGUGGGGUAGUGGCUUACCAAGGCUUUGACGGGUAGCCGGCCUGGGAGGGUGACCGGCCACAUUGGGACUGAGAUACGGCCCAGCCUCCUACGGGAGGCAGCAGUGGGGAAUAUUGCACAAUGGGCGGAAGCCUGAUGCAGCACCGCCGCGUGCGGGAUGACGGCCUUCGGGUUGUAAACCGCUUUCGCCUGUGACGAAGCGUGAGUGACGGUAAUGGGUAAAGAAGCACCGGCUAACUACGUG
rnacentral:rRNA from 1 species